ensembl:lncRNA
AUGGGAAUUUCAAAAAAGUUACUAAUAAAUGAUUGUGCUUCUAAAGUUGCAGGGUCAACAUUUCAUCCUCUAGAAAGCAGGGCAAUUCAUGGCUUGGAGUCUUCUUGUUUACAUUCUAGAAACCAGAACAAAUUUCAUGGGACCCCUCACCGCCAACAACCAGCAGGGAAGAUGGAGAGAAGGCCACAGCUGUCUUUGAGUGAGCACCACAUUUUACCCACAUGCCUGACGGACCGACCAAGCUGGAUGGAAGCCUUCCGAGGGACCGGAGCAGAAGGGAAAUCUUACACAUGGCCUCAAAGGACUUCACACUAUUCCAUCCCCUCUACUGCCAUCCAAGAGGCCUCUUGACUCUUCCAGAAUCAGAUGUAAAAGACAAGAUUGGUGAAAAUCAGUAUCCAUGCCACCUGAAGCUAUGAUUAGCCAUUGUACACGAACAUGGCACUUUUAUUUAUUUAUUUAUUUGUUAUUUUGAGAUGGAGUUUUGCUCUUGUUGCCCAGGCUGGAGUGCAGUGGCGCUACGUCGGCUCACUGCAACCUCUGCCUUCCGAGUUCAAGUGAUUCUCCUGUCAGCCUCCCGAGUAGGUGGGAUUACAGGCACCUGUCACCACAGCUGGCUAAUUUUUGCUUUUUUUUUUUUUAGUAGAAAUGAGGUUUCACCAUGUUAGCCAGGUUGGUCCUGAACUCCUGCCCUCAGGUAAUCCACCUGCCUUGGUCUCCCAAAGUGCUGGGAUUCCAAGCAUGAGCCACCACACCUGGCCUGAAGACGGCGCUUUUAAAAAGAUUUUUUUCUACGUAAAAUUGCCCCCAAAGAGCCCAGUGAUUUUUUUAAGAUUUUCUUUUUAAUUAAAAAAAAAAAAGGAUAAAAAUUGAAGCUGUAAAAUACGGAAGAGGAGCAAGAGAGCUGCUGAGUUUGCAUUUGAAGUUGUGAGGGGCUGGGGAGGACACGACCAGGGAGAGAGGACCCAUACACACUAGUCCUGGCUCUCACAGCUUGCGCUCCCCACACUCAGGCUGGCCCGCCAGGAACACAGGACAGAAGUCCCCGCUCUCACAGCCUGCGCUCCACACACUCUGGCUGCGCUGCCAGGAACACAGGACAGAAGUCGUAAGGACAAGAGACCAAACUCAAGGCUUCUUUCUUGUGGUUGGGUGUUCGCGUGUGUAAGUGCAGUCAGCCACACCCCACGGACAUAACGUGCCUGUCUGUGGAUGCCAUAGGCAUGCUCCCGAGCAUUGCUCAGUCUCUGGUGACCCCGAGUCUCUGGGCAGGCCACGGGCCUUCACUUCUCCACUUUCUUGAGGAUGUGGCAUUUUUUCCUGUUAGGGCAGCGGCACCGCUCGUCGAUGCUGGGGAUACAUUUGCAAUGCCCCAUCUCCUCCACGGGGCAGACAGCUUCCCCGUUGUGGCAGAUGAGCGGCAGCUGCAUAGGGUCCCGCUGCUUCUUGUUGCAAGCCCGGAAAUGGUUGUACUGCAGCGGGAGGUUCUCUGUGGUGGAGGAGCCCUGCGGCAAAGUUGCCCAGGGAGUGGCUGUGCUGCAUGAUCUCACGCAGCUCCUUGUCGGACAGCAGGUAGGGAGGUAGGGAGAGGGUACUGGAAGCUGGGCAAGGGACCACCACCUCAUCCAAGGGAAUCUUGAAAAAGUCCUUGCCGCUCCUCUUGGGGGCAGCAGGGGACCCUCAAACUCUUCCCCGAACCUCUCGGGGUUGAUUGCAUAGCUCCUCAUGUCUCUGCACUCGGGGCCAGCACGUGGACCAUGCACUGCUGCUGGUAGGAGGACCUCUGCUCGUGUCCUGGCACGGGUUGUCCAUGAACUCCAGGGUCCAGACGUGGUCAUUUUUGGUGCAGAGGUAGAGCAGGUGCACGUAGUGGCAAAUGAGCUUUAUGCAGGACGGGUUCAGCUGCUCUUGCCCAGGGAGCCGCAGCAGCUGUACUGCUUGUGCAGGUUCUCAUGGGUGAAGAGCUUGGGGAGCAGGGACACCAGCAGGUGAGAGGCGAAGUUGCCAAUGGACAGGCUGCUCUGGUAGAUACUGCGAAGAUGCUCCUUGCUGAGCAGGCAGUCGGUGCCGGGCACCUCCAAGUUGGGCUGGAGGAUCUCCAAUUUGUCCAAGUCGAUAGGUACCAGCCAGAUCUUCUUGGAUCGGCACCGCUGGCCCUGGAAGCUAUCCUCCACCCUGAUUACUGAGAUGUCAAUGGGCAGGCUGGAGGAGUCAUAGCAGUCGACACGUGGGGGGCUUGCCUUUGCUGCCUGCGUGCAGCCCCAGGCCCUGGAGCUUGUCGUUGAUGCGCUCGAUGCACGAUUGCAGCCAAUCCUCCUCCUCCUGCAUGUGGGGGAAGUAGACCUCUGUGUUGUUGCAGAUGAUCUGCAGCCUCUGCGGAUCCAGCUCCUGCUUACCGCUGUCCCCGUAGCAGCUGUCCUGCUCGCCCAGCUUGCGAUGGUCGAAGAGCUCAGAGAAGAGCCAGUGAAGGAGGAAGACAGCAAACUCACCGGGUGAAGAGGCUACAUCCAGGAACUCAGUGGGGUCCUACAUGCCCACCACAUGGUCUGAGGUGAUGCUGCUGCUCCGGUCCAGAGACAGGCCGUCCUCCUCAUCUCUGUGGUCCAGGAAGUGGCUGGGGUCCACUGCUCAGCCUCAAAGAAGCUGGCAGCCUGGCCACGGGGCUGGCUGUUCUCCAUCUCCCGCUGGGCCCAGAAGCGGCUGAAGAAGUUAUUCAGCUGGGGUAGGCACUCGGCCUGUCACACAGCCAUGUCCUUCACCGAGGGGUAGUAGUCCUCCAUGUAGUU